rnacentral:miRNA from 1 species
GCAAAAGAGAGAAGAGCUGA